rnacentral:rRNA from 1 species
UGGGGAAUUUUGGACAAUGGGGGCAACCCUGAUCCAGCCAUGCCGCGUGUCUGAAGAAGGCCUUCGGGUUGUAAAGGACUUUUGUCAGGGAGGAAAUCCCUAAGGUUAAUACCCUUGGGGGAUGACAGUACCUGAAGAAUAAGCACCGGCUAACUACGUGCCAGCAGCCGCGGUAAUACGUAGGGUGAAAGCGUUAAUCGGAAUUACUGGGCGUAAAGCGUGCGCAGGCGGUUUGAAAAGUCAGCGGUGAAAGCCCCGGGCUCAACCUGGGAACGGCGGUUGAAACUCUCAAGCUAGAGUGCGUCAGAGGGGGGUGGAAUUCCACGUGUAGCAGUGAAAUGCGUAGAGAUGUGGAGGAACACCAAUGGCGAAGGCAGCCCCCUGGGAUGACACUGACGCUCAUGCACGAAAGCGUGGGGAGCAAACA